rnacentral:snRNA from 13 species
UUGAUGGAACUGGUGUAAAUGGUCUUGGAAAGAUCCAGUGAAUAGGAUUGAUGCUCUGCCUUGUUUUCGUCAAGUGAAGAGUCGUCGACCGUCGUCGAAGCGCCUGGAGUAUGUUGGUACAAACGAGUGGAGGGAGCGGCGAGAACCGGAGCUCCAACAACGCGAGGCACUGUGGAGGGUAGAGCGGAAAA